GACAGAGGGUGCAAACGUUGCUCGGAAUUACUGGGCGUAAAGCGCGUGUAGGCGGGCCUUCAAGUCGGACGUGAAAGCCCUGAGCUCAACUCAGGAACUGCAUCCGAAACUGAAGGUCUGGAGUAGUGGAGAGGAAAGCAGAAUUCCUGGUGUAGAGGUGAAAUUCGUAGAUAUCAGGAGGAACACCGGUGGCGAAGGCGGCUUUCUGGACACUUACUGACGCUGAGACGCGAAAGCGUGGGGAGCAAACAGG
rnacentral:rRNA from 1 species